UACGGGGGGGGCAAGCGUUGUUCGGAAUUACUGGGCGUAAAGGGCUCGUAGGUGCCAACUAAGUCGGACGUGAAAUCCCUCGGCGUUAACCGGGGAACUGCGUCCGAUACUGGUUGCUUGAGUUUGGGAGAGGGAUGCGGAAUUCCAGGUGUAGCGGUGAAAUGACGUAGAUAUCUGGAGGAACACCGGUGGCGAAGGCAGCACCCUGGGCCGGUACUG
rnacentral:rRNA from 1 species